GAGCAUGUAACUCAGCGGAUAGAGUAUCAAAUUCCGACUUUGAUAGUCGAGGGUUCAAAUCCCUCCUUGCUCA
rnacentral:tRNA from 1 species